GUUGUAUGGUUAAGUGACUAAGCGUACACGGUGGAUGCCUUGGCAGUCAGAGGCGAUGAAAGACGUAGUAACUUGCGAUAAGCCCAGAUUAGGUAGUAACAACCAUUUGAGUCUGGGAUUUCUGAAUGGGGAAACCCACGUGCAUAAGCACGUAUCCUUACCUGAAUACAUAGGGUAAGGAGGCGAACCGGGGGAACUGAAACAUCUAAGUACCCCGAGGAAAAGAAAUCAACCGAGAUUCCGAAAGUAGCGGCGAGCGAAAUUGGACUAGCCCUUAAGCUUUACACGCGUUAGACGAACGGUCUGGAAAGUCCGACGAUACAGGGUGAUAGUCCCGUAGUUGACGACGUGUGUUCAGUGAAAUCGAGUAGGGCGGGACACGUGAUAUCCUGUCUGAAUAUGGGGGGACCAUCCUCCAAGGCUAAAUACUACUGACUGACCGAUAGUGAACCAGUACCGUGAGGGAAAGGCGAAAAGAACCCCUGUGAGGGGAGUGAAAUAGAACCUGAAACCGUGUACGUACAAGCAGUAGGAGCAGGCUUUGUCCUGUGACUGCGUACCUUUUGUAUAAUGGGUCAGCGACUUAUAUUCAGUGGCAAGGUUAACCAUCUAGGGGAGCCGUAGGGAAACCGAGUCUUAACUGGGCGUUCAGUCUCUGGAUAUAGACCCGAAACCAGGUGAUCUAGCCAUGGGCAGGUUGAAGGUUGAGUAACAUCAACUGGAGGACCGAACCGACUAAUGUUGAAAAAUUAGCGGAUGACUUGUGGCUAGGGGUGAAAGGCCAAUCAAACCUGGAGAUAGCUGGUUCUCCCCGAAAGCUAUUUAGGUAGCGCCUCGGACGAAUACUACUGGGGGUAGAGCACUGUUAAGGCUAGGGGGUCAUCCCGACUUACCAACCCUUUGCAAACUCCGAAUACCAGUAAGUACUAUCCGGGAGACACACGGCGGGUGCUAACGUCCGUCGUGGAGAGGGAAACAACCCAGACCGCCAGCUAAGGUCCCAAAUUACUACUAAGUGGGAAACGAUGUGGGAAGGCUCAGACAGCCAGGAUGUUGGCUUAGAAGCAGCCAUCAUUUAAAGAAAGCGUAAUAGCUCACUGGUCGAGUCGGCCUGCGCGGAAGAUGUAACGGGGCUAAGUAGUAAACCGAAGCUGCGGCAAUGUGCUUUUGCACAUUGGGUAGGGGAGCGUUCUGUAAGCGGUUGAAGGUGUGUGGUAACGCAUGCUGGACGUAUCAGAAGUGCGAAUGCUGACAUGAGUAACGAUAAAGGGGGUGAAAAACCUCCUCGCCGGAAGACCAAGGGUUCCUGUCCAACGUUAAUCGGGGCAGGGUAAGUCGACCCCUAAGGCGAGGCCGAAAGGCGUAGUCGAUGGGAAACGGGUUAAUAUUCCCGUACUUCUUACAAUUGCGAUGGGGGACGGAGAAGGCUAGGUGGGCCUGGCGACGGUUGUCCAGGUUCAAGUGCGUAGGCUUAAGAGUUAGGUAAAUCCGGCUCUUUCUAAGGCUGAGACACGACGUCGAGCACCUACGGGUGUGAAGUCAUUGAUGCCAUGCUUCCAGGAAAAGCCUCUAAGCUUCAGAUUGUAAGGAAUCGUACCCCAAACCGACACAGGUGGUCGGGUAGAGAAUACCAAGGCGCUUGAGAGAACUCGGGUGAAGGAACUAGGCAAAAUGGUACCGUAACUUCGGGAGAAGGUACGCUCUUGAUGGUGAAGUCCCUUGCGGAUGGAGCUGACGAGAGUCGCAGAUACCAGGUGGCUGCAACUGUUUAUUAAAAACACAGCACUGUGCAAAAUCGUAAGAUGACGUAUACGGUGUGACGCCUGCCCGGUGCCGGAAGGUUAAUUGAUGGGGUUAGACUUCGGUCGAAGCUCUUGAUCGAAGCCCCGGUAAACGGCGGCCGUAACUAUAACGGUCCUAAGGUAGCGAAAUUCCUUGUCGGGUAAGUUCCGACCUGCACGAAUGGCGUAAUGAUGGCCACGCUGUCUCCACCCGAGACUCAGUGAAAUUGAAAUCGCUGUGAAGAUGCAGUGUACCCGCGGCUAGACGGAAAGACCCCGUGAACCUUUACUACAGCUUGGCACUGAACAUUGACCCUACAUGUGUAGGAUAGGUGGGAGGCUUUGAAGCACGUACGCCAGUAUGUGUGGAGCCGUCCUUGAAAUACCACCCUUGUAGUGUUGAUGUUCUAACGUCGACCCCUAAUCGGGGUUGCGGACAGUGCCUGGUGGGUAGUUUGACUGGGGCGGUCUCCUCCCAAAGAGUAACGGAGGAGCACGAAGGUGGGCUAAUCACGGUUGGACAUCGUGAGGUUAGUGCAAUGGCAUAAGCCCGCUUGACUGCGAGAAUGACAAUUCGAGCAGGUGCGAAAGCAGGUCAUAGUGAUCCGGUGGUUCUGAAUGGAAGGGCCAUCGCUCAACGGAUAAAAGGUACUCCGGGGAUAACAGGCUGAUACCGCCCAAGAGUUCAUAUCGACGGCGGUGUUUGGCACCUCGAUGUCGGCUCAUCACAUCCUGGGGCUGAAGUCGGUCCCAAGGGUAUGGCUGUUCGCCAUUUAAAGUGGUACGCGAGCUGGGUUUAGAACGUCGUGAGACAGUUCGGUCCCUAUCUGCCGUGGGCGUUGGAAGAUUGAAGGGGGCUGCUCCUAGUACGAGAGGACCGGAGUGGACGAACCUCUGGUGUUCGGGUUGUGUCGCCAGACGCAUUGCCCGGUAGCUAAGUUCGGAAUCGAUAACCGCUGAAAGCAUCUAAGCGGGAAGCGAGCCCUGAGAUGAGUCUUCCCUGAUACUUUAAGUAUCCUAAAGGGUUGUCGGAGACUACGACGUUGAUAGGUCAGGUGUGUAAGUGCUGUGAGGCAUUGAGCUAACUGAUACUAAUUGCCCGUGAGGCUUAACCAUACAACACCCAAGGGGUUU
rnacentral:rRNA from 1 species